rnacentral:rRNA from 1 species
CAGUCGCCACGGUAAUACGAAGGGGGCUAGCGUUGCUCGGAAUCACUGGGCGUAAAGGGUGCGUAGGCGGGUUUUUAAGUCAGAGGUGAAAUCCUGGAGCUCAACUCCAGAACUGCCUUUGAUACUGAAAGUCUUGAGUAUGGGAGAGGUGAGUGGAACUGCGAGUGUAGAGGUGAAAUUCGUAGAUAUUCGCAAGAACACCAGUGGCGAAGGCGGCUCACUGGCCCAUUACUGACGCUGAGGCACGAAAGCGUGGGGAGCAAACAGGAUUAGAGACCCCUGUAGUCCCUGUCUCUUAUAC